UACGUAGGGUGCAAGCGUUGUCCGGAAUUAUUGGGCGUAAAGAGCUCGUAGGCGGUUUGUCGCGUCUGCUGUGAAAACUCGGGGCUUAACCCCGGCCUGCAGUGGGUACGGGCAGACUAGAGUGAUGUAGGGGAGACUGGAAUUCCUGGUGUAGCGGUGAAAUGCGCAGAUAUCAGGAGGAACACCGAUGGCGAAGGCAGGUCUCUGGGCAUUAACUGACGCUGAGGAGCGAAAGCAUGGGGAGCGAACAGG
rnacentral:rRNA from 1 species